AGUUUGGAGAAGCCCUCUUUUAGGGUGUGAGUGCAGCAGCGAGGGCUCGGAGCAAGGGGGCAACGCUUGGCCUCAGGAGCAGGCCCUGCCUGGGCUCAGCAGCCUCUACAUUGAACCACUUGGCCCAGUAGGAAAACUGGUCCCACUAGGAGAAGCAGAGGAUAAGCUGCAACCAUGAACACAAGUGUGCCCUGGGAACCACUGAUGGGGGCAGAGGCAUCCUCAACCCUUCCUAGGAAUGGGGAGUGGGGAGAGGCCUCCCUGGGUGAGUCAUUUCCUUCUUUAUCUCAAAAUCAACAAUCAGAAGAUACGUGACAUUCCUGACAAGAGGUCUCUUCAAAUUCCCAUUUCCUCUUUUCUCCCCCAUCAGCAAAGAGAAUAUGGAAGCUGAAGUCCUGCCCCCGCACCCUGACCCCAAGUAUCACCUUGAAAGCUACCUGAAAGCAGUCUAGAAGGAGCCAUGAGCCCCAGCUAUACGCAGCAAGCAGUGCCUGCGCCCUAUGGCUGUGGCCAGGACCCCUUCAACAGCUGCAGGAGCCUCCCAGCUCAGUGGCCAGUCUCAGAUCAGGCGUGCUAAUUUUACAAGGAAGAAGUGGCCUCAGCCUCCUCUGAAUACCAAGGAGAGGCCCAGCUCUGUUUGAGGCCUCAGGAAAAACUGCUGCUGCCCUUUCCCUCUCCCUAUGGCCUGGAGGGGCGUGGACCCUCAGACUCCUGCUGCCCAAGGCUGAUUUGAAGGGCUGGGUCCCAACCUGACCCCUGGUCCGCAGAGCAAGCAGGGUGUGGGCCAGGCUCAGCGCAAUAAACAGGCAGAUCUGCCUCCUGGAUGGUGGAGAACACGAGGAUUGGGUGAGCAAGGACCAUUUUAUAGAGGGAUUUCAGACUGCAGAAGGUAUGCGAUGCGUCACUGGGAGAUUUCAGGAGCCAAGUCUUGACUUAGAGGCAGGAGAGUGGAGUGCUUGAAUGAGCCAACUGUUCCACCAGAGACCUAGGUUCAAAUCCCAGUUCUGCCAUUUACUAAUUCUGUGACCUUUGGCAAGUGACUUAAACUCUUUGGACCUCAGUUUAAUCAUCUAUAAAAUGCGGACGAGAAGAGUCCCUGCCUCCUAGAGCUGCUGGGAAGACAAAAUGACCCGGCAGGUCUUCGGCAAAGGGUAACUACAAGCUCCCUCAAAGACGGAGGAGGCCAGAGACUGGACGUCCCAGGACCUGACUAUCCCCGCUCUCCCAAAUCAUAAAGAUAGUAAUCUUGGCUGACCACGGGGCUGUAGGAGAACGUGGAUGUUAAAAUGAUUGGAGAAGUGGGAAAUGCCAUUCCAAUGUGAACAGCAUUGUCAGAAAUGUUGCUUUAAUAGUAAUAGGCCUACUGAUACUAGUGGUAAUUAAUGUAUCUAACAAACAGUAAUAGUAAUUAUUAUUACUCUUACCAUUCAUUAAGUACUUAGCAUAUGCAGGUAGUUUGCUAAGCAUGACAUCAUGCACUACAUCAUUUAUGUCUCACAACGACUGCGUAAUGAAGGUAGUAUUACACUGGCAUACAGAUGGGGAAACUGAGGCUCACGGAAGCUAUGAGUGUCGCCAACAAUCACACAGCUAAGUAGGUGGGGGCGUCAGGACUUGACUCACAUGUGUCUGAUUCUUCAGUCGCUUUUCUGGACCUCCUUAUUCUCCUGUUUCCCCAGCGGCACUAGGUGCAGCCAGCUGCAGAGGAACCCCAAGAGAACCAAGGGACCGGUCCCAUACUGCAGCAGUGAAGGGGCGAUGGCAACCUUGGGAUCUGAAAGUGGCCCUGUCUGUCCGAUUUCACUCAGCCUGAGCCAACCCACGGAACAGAUGGAAGCAUCGAGGAAACGGGAUGGAGCGUGUCAGUGGGACCACAGAGCCAGCAAACAUUUAUUGAGCGUCUACUAUGCUAGACCCAGAAGAUACGAUAGUGAGUAGAAACAGACAGACCCUGCUCACAUGGAGAGAGACACCCAGAGUGUCGCGAGCAGAUGGAUGCAAAUCACCAGAAUGGAGGCGGACGAGGGGCACAGGGCACGCUGGACUUUCCUGUACUAAUUUUUGCAACUUCUCGUGAGUAUAUAAUUUCUUCAAAAUAAUAAUUACAUUAACAAGAAAGAAGAGGAGGAAGAGGAGGAAGCGGGGAAAGCAGAGACAAAGGAGAAAAAGGCGGUGGCCAGAGGGUCUGGGACACGGGGAGUGAUGAGGCGGGUGGCACGGGAUGAGCCUGGAAAGCCGGUGGGGUCAAACGAGGGUAGAGUCUUCCUCUCUCUGGACCUCAGUUUCUCCAGCUAUCGGAUGGGAAUAACAUCGGCUCCCCCAAGAGAAAUGUACUUCUUUUUUAAAAACAUGAAUCUUUCCCUCCCUUCCAUUGCCCACCCCGUGCAGCCACGAGGGCCCUAGAUGACGUGCGUCAGCCGGUCAUCACACAGAAGUCUAACUGCGCCUGAGGUUGCUGGGAAAGGGGACAAGGGCUCUUUAAGGGACUAGGUGCAAGGGCAGCAAGGAGAGGCCGCGAGAAAGAGGUCUGAAACCCCCAGGUCAACGGGCCCCCUCAUCUUUUUAAAACUGCAAAACAUAAGCUCUAUUUGUUUGUACAUUCCC